rnacentral:rRNA from 1 species
CCUACGGGAGGCAGCAGUGAGGAAUAUUGGGCAAUGGGCGCGAGCCUGAACCAGCCAAGCCGCGUGAGGGAUGAAGGUUCUAUGGAUCGUAAACCUCUUUUAUAAGGGAAUGAAGUGUGCGGCGUGUCCUAUUUUGUAUGUACCUUAUGAAUAAGGAUCGGCUAACUCCGUGCCAGCAGCCGCGGUAAUACGGAGGAUCCGAGCGUUAUCCGGUUUUGUUGUGUUUAAAGGGUGCGUAGGCGGUCUUUUAAGUCAGCGGUGAAAGUCUGUGGCUCAACCAUAGAAUUGCCGUUGAAACUGGGGGGCUUGAGUAUGUGUGAGGAAGGCGGAAUGCGUGGUGUAGCGGUGAAAUGCUUAGAUAUCACGCAGAACCCCGAUGGCGAAGGCAGCCUGCUAAGCCAUGACUGACGCUGAUGCACGAAAGCGUGGGGAUCAAACAGGAUUAGAUACCCGAGUAGUC